UCUUUUUUGAGGUAUAGCUGCAGCAAUAGCCUAUAGACUUAUGUUUACAUUAAGCUUACUGUAUAUUAUCGUGAGGACUGGAUAGAUUACCACGGAGCAGAGCCAAAGCUCAUUGUUAUAUAUUUUAGGAUUUUUCUACAUGAAAAUGUUUAAUUGUGUUAUUUUGUUGGUAAUGUUCAGUGUAAGAAAUGUGAAUAUAAGUGUAACAUCCUCAGAGACGGCACCUAAGUCCUAUACAUUUUAAAUCCUGCAGACAAUUCGUAGUGGAGUGGAGGUGGUGACCCUCAGCCCACGUGUCAGUGUCUUCAAGGAGAGAUGGCCUGGUUUAUUCAAUGAGGCUCAGAUCAAGGAGGAGUUCCGACACAUAACAACUCUUUCACUGGAAGAGACUUUGAUGCUGAAACUGGAUGGGUCCACUAACACCACUCGCUCCAGCUGAUGCGUGCCAAAGAGGAGAUGCUGGCUCCAGGAUGCGCCCUCUUCUGAGCACAAUUGAUGAGGCCCAGAGUGUUGGGAAAAGAGAUGCAGUGGCCAGGUGCCUGAUUGAAGACCUUGGGGAACGCCAAGAAGACCUUUUUCAAGACAGCCAGGACGAGCAUGACAACGUCGUGGACCAAACUAUGAAGGUGCUUGUGAUCCAUGAUGCCAGGGACGGGACCAGCAGAUGUGUCCAUUGUCAUAGAGGGAGACAGAGUUUUGUGCGGAAACCAAACAAAGGCAUGUGCAUUGUUGAUGGGAUUCAUCUCUACACCCUCAACCUGGAAUACCCCAACAAGCUCAAAUACACAUUUGAGGUAUUCUAAGAACAGUAUUUGGAGCUUGAUGGAGCCAAGCUGCUCAAAAAGGUCCAGAGCCACAAAUAAACAAUUUGUUCUCAAGUGGAUGUUGACUUGUUUUAGUGCCGAGUGACACAAACACAAAAUAAUGUGAUGUUGAAUGUAAUGGAUGUGGAGAAACCUUGUUCUGUUAAAAGUGGACUGUUUACUGGCACUCAAAGGUUUUAAUAGUUGAGUAAAUUGCACUUGGAAGAUUAUGUUAAACAUGUUUACAAUUCCCACUUUACUGUUAAAACAAUGUGAUUGUGACUAUUUUGAAGAUUCUGCUCAGUGUUAUCAAUUGAAAUGCAUUUAACUGUUUAAAUAAUCUCAAUGUAUGGCCAUAUUGCACUUAUACAUUUGGUCAAUUA